rnacentral:rRNA from 1 species
UACGGGGGGGGGUAAGCGUUGUUCGGAAUUACUGGGCGUAAAGGGCUCGUAGGCGGCCAACUAAGUCAGACGUGAAAUCCCUCAGCUUAACUGGGGAACUGCGUCUGAUACUGGGUGGCUUGAGUGCAGGAGAGGAAUGCGGAAUUCCAGGUGUAGCGGUGAAAUGCGUAGAUAUCUGGAGGAACACCGGUGGCGAAGGCGGCGUUCUGGACUGUAUCUGACACUGAUAGACGAAAGCCAGGGGAGCAAACGGGG